CCGACACAGACGAUUAUCGAUUGCUGGAUGAACUUUUUAGGCUGGAUGCUUGCUGCAUUGAAGAUGUUGACUGGGAUAAUCUUCUUGGGCAUAGGCCUGGAGAUAUUACUCUGAAACGCUGGAGGCAGAUGGUAAAUCACAUUGGUAUCCAUGGA